rnacentral:lncRNA from 1 species
AUGUCAAAUACAAUUUAUUACUUCCAACACAUAAAUAAUUAAUGGAGGCUUGAUUUAAAAAUCUUUGCUACAUUGAUCUAACAAUAGUAAUUUCUAAUUUGUAUGUCUUAUAUAAUUGAUUUCAUGACAAAUAUAAGAGAGGAACAUUAUUGUAAAUAACAACUUAAUUUUUAAAAAAUAAAAAAAAUAAAAAAAAAUCUCGACUCUUUUCUUUGCAAGCAGUGCUUCUAUUAUAUUCUGCUCUCUAUAGCUAUAUUUUAGCCACGAGCCCUUCAGCAUCCUCAUCAGAGACCUACAUUCAUUUAAAAUAGCAACGUUAGGAUUAUCAAGAAAUUUGUACGCCUACAUACCACACAAAUUUCUCCAUGUUCUGCUCUUUAUAGCUAUAUUUAAGCCACGGGCCCUUCAGCCUCCGCAGUAAAGACCUACAUUAAUUCAAAAUUGCAGCGUUAGGGUUAUCAAGAAAUUUGUAUGCUUACAUACCACACGAAUUUCUCCACGUUUUGCUCUUUAUAGCUAUAUUUAAGCCACGGGUCCUUCAGCCUCCGCAGUAAAGACCUACAUUAAUUUAAAAUUGCAGCGUUAGGGUUAUCAAGAAAUUUGUAUGCUUACAUACCACACGAAUUUCUCCACGUUUUGCUCUCUAUAGCUAUAUUUAAGCCACGGGCCCUUCAGCCUCCGCAUCAAAGACCUACAUUCAUUUAAAAUAGCAUCGUUAGGGUUAUCAAGAUAUUUGUACGCCUACAUACCACACAAAUUUCUCCAUGUUCUGCUCUCUAUAGCUAUAUUUUAGCCACGGGCCCUUCAGCCUCGGCAUCAAAGACCUAUAUUCAUUUAAAAUAGCAUCGUUGGGGUUAUCAAGAAAUUUGUACACUUAAAUACCACACAAAUUUCUCCAUGUUCUGCUCUCUAUAGCUAUAUUUUAGCCACGGACCCUUCAGCCUCUGCAUCAAAAACCUACAUUAAUUUUAAAUAGUAUCGUUAGGGUUAUCAAGAAAUUUGUACGCUCACAUAUUGCGGUAUAAAGAAAUACGAUUUAAUUACGUAUUAGGUAAAAAGAUAGUCUGGUGCACUAAAGCUCCCUCUAUGCGCAGGGACCGGAGAAGGGCCCCACCACGAGUGUAUUAUAUGCAGACUUACCUUGCAUUUUUUUGUCCGAAGCUGUUUCCAAGGCUUGACAACCCGUGACCUCCUGAUCACAUGACAACAACUUUACCAGUUACUCCACGACUCUCCUUUAAUAAGAACUUAUUUAAGGUACUUUAUUAACUAAGAAAUAUCAUCAAAUUAACCAAAAGUAGUAAUAAUCAACAACUAUAAUCACAUAAAAUUAAUCACAGUCCAAAGAUAAACUCAC